UAGGGAAUCUUCCACAAUGGGCGCAAGCCUGAUGGAGCAACACCGCGCGAGUGAAGAAGGGUUCCGGCUCGUAAAGCUCUGUUGCUAAAGAAGAACACGUAUGAGAGUAACUGUUCAUACGUUGACGGUAUUUAACCAGAAAGUCACGGCUAACUACGUGCCAG
rnacentral:rRNA from 1 species